rnacentral:siRNA from 1 species
AGCAAUUUCCAUGGAGCUAGAUGC